rnacentral:rRNA from 1 species
AGCUCCAAUAGCGUAUAUUAAAGUUGUUGCAGUUAAAAAGCUCGUAGUUGGAUUUCUGGUUGGAGCAAUCGGUCGGCCCCGCAAGGGGUCUGUACUAGCGUUGUCUCGGGCCAUCCUUGUGGGAACUGUGCGGCCGUUAACUCGGUUGUAUGUGGGAACACAUCGUUUACUGUGAAAAAUUAGAGUGUUUAAAGCAGGCUUAGGCCGUUGAAUACAUUAGCAUGGAAUAAUAAGAUAAGACUUGGGUCAUUAUUUUGUUGGUUUGCGGACUCAGGUAAUGAUUAAUAGGGAUAGUUGGGGGUAUUCAUAUUUAAUUGUCAGAGGUGAAAUUCUUGGAUUUUUGCAAGACGAACUACUGCGAAAGCAUUUGCCAAGGAUGUUUUUA